UCAGGACAAGUGCUUUGGAGGAAAAGCAAGACUUCAUCCAGUCGUCAGUAGAAAACCUUGGUGGCUGCAGUUUCUGUGACUUACAAAAAGGAUACACAGGAGAAGAGGGUAUUAACAUGAUACAGCUCACAUGGUGGAGAAGUGAGGUCUCCUGCCAUCAGCAUGUGAGGGAGCCAUCUUGGAAGCAGCCCUUCCAGCCUUCGGCUGAAGGUGACCCCACCUGAAGGCUGACAUACUCACUGCUACCUCGAGAGACCCUGAGCCACCCAGAGACCCUGUUCUCAAAUUCUUCAACCGUGAGAAAAUAAAUGUUUGUUAUUGUAAGGCACUAAAAAAAUAAAAUAAAAUAAACUACUA